rnacentral:lncRNA from 1 species
AUGAAUAAAACAUUCCUGCCACCGGAAGCUUCUAUCUGUUGGAGAAGUUCCUCUCUAACAAAGCGGGUUUGAAUGAGGAUGGGCCUGUUCCCAAACCUCUGAUGAGGACAGGCUGCUUACGGGGGUCAGGGCUCAAGUCAGGCAGCCCGAGGCUCGGCUCCCUUCAUGCCUGGGGCUCAAUGAGCUGGGAGCAGCCCUGUCCUGUCAACCAUUCCAUAGCCAAUAAUGUUUCAAUCUCCUUACAGGUUGCAGAACCAAGGUGAGGCAGGGGAGCUCUGCACAGACCUACAUCUUCAGCACACCUCCUCCAGAACUCCUGUGAGUACUUCUCAUGAUCCCAAGCGAGUUUCCUUAUCUUCAGCACUACCGUUUGGAGCUCAGAGCUGUAAUUUCAAGCCUAAGGGCCCGUUGGCAGCCAGCUGUUUGGUGAAACUCUUCGUGUGAUCCUUUGCACUCAGUUGGGGCUGGAGGAGAGCAACCUAUCUGCAAGGGCAAGGUGCACACCUUGACCCAAGCAAGCAUCUCCCAUCCUUUUAGGUUCGUGGAAUAUCCUGUAUUGGAAGGGAUCCAUAAGGACCAUUGAGUCCAUCUCCUUCAGAUCACACCACUCUGCACAGAUUACUGCAAACAGAAGAAACAGUGCUUUGUCUCAGCUGAAGACCCCUGGAUGUAAAUCUACGGUAAAACAGUCCCUAUGGGUGAUCACCACCAGCAGCUGCUUGACAUCUAUGGAUGCACAUGGAAGAAUAGAUUUUGGAAGUUCAGCACCAACAGCUCCUGUUUUGGGGAGUUUUCCCUUGAUACCUGCAGUGUUAGCAGCAAGGCAGGGGAAGGAAAUACGAGGUUAUCCUUCCCAGUGAGUGACAGAGGAGUGGAACAGUAGGAAAGAAUGUUUUACUCAUUGGGUUAAAACGCUUUUUUCUACUCACCGAUAGAAAUGAUCUCAUCUGUUUCAAUAUUAUUCUUGUGCCUGUGUCUUUAUUCUGUGCCUGGAAACCACCAGCUCUAUAGAGAUGCACUGACACCCUGAGCUCUUCCUGGGACACUCCUUGGGAGCUUCCCUACAGACACGAGCCACAGGCUUCCCCAACAGAGGUAACACGAGGUGAUCCAUAGCAGCAAAGCUGCUGUGAGCUCUCUCCUAGUGAGGAUCCCACCAAGCGUGGUCCUGCUGGACACAGCCUCCUGCUGGAUGUGAUUCCAUGCAGGAUGUUGCAAUAGUCACUCCUAGCCCGGAACCAGAGAGGAUGAACCAACACUCCAACUCAACCCCUAGAUUAAUUGCUUUUCUCUGUAACCCGUGUCUGACAGCAAAGCAUUGCUCCAUUGAUUUUAUUUUUUUCUGUUGGCACACACGUGGGUUUGUUUUCAGCAGCUUUGCUUUCCUGUUGUUUUACAAGAAGACUUUGGGUCGUGUCCGUAGCUCUGACCUCUGGGGCCUGAUUCUGUUCCCACUAAAACAAGUCUCCCACUGGCAUCUGUGGGGGCACUGCACAGUGGAAGGGUCCCCACGGGGCAGAGCCACAGCUGGCUGCACCAGCGUGCCCAGCACUGCACUUCUGUGCUCCUUCUGUUCCCAUCGCCUUCAAGUGAAGCUUUUCCCCCUCCAAUCAUAAAACUUCCACUUUUAAUAUUUUAAACUUAUUUCUCAUAAAACUCCCAACUACAAAAAUUUCUUUUAAAGAAAUACACCAUUAAUGUAUCUUUAUGACGUGCAGCUGAUACUCACAGCAUGGGCUAUGACUUUUUUAUGUUUCUUACUUGUUCUUGAGACCUUUUAUUUUGACAUCAUAUCCUUAUGUGCUAAAUUAAAACAAAUUUUUAUUAUCUACUAUAUGCCAGCAGACAGCGGUGCCUUAAAGCUGUUGUACAGCUCUUCAUGUCCAUCGUGGGGCACCUUCCCGUCUUCCUGCCCGCUCCCUCCCUCCACCUCUCCAAAAACCCAUGGAGCGAGUUAUCCCCAUUGACAGCAAUUUACAGUCCCCAUUAACGGUCAUAUAAAUUCCAGUGGAUCAAGGGAGCUUCGAGUCUAUGAUAUUCAGACGCAGCUAAUAGCUCUGGGAUAAUUGCCAUCUCGUGUUUCUGUGCUCCGAGCCUGACUGUUUAUAUCUCAGGACAAGCAAGCAGUAAAACAAGUUUCCACGUUCCCCGAGUCACCCAAGGAGACGCCGGCUCCAAUAGCAGGCAGAGGGCUGGAGGUGGCAGUCAUUUCCUAUGGUUAAUGCUCGCUGCUUGUGCACAGCUCACCCUUCCAGAGGGAAGCGGGGUCAGCCCUGAGCCCUUCUGUAUGGGGAAAAAGCAGCCAGCUUGGUGUUAUCGCUGUUAGCGAUGAGGCUUAGGCUCAUGCUGUGGAAGGGUGGCACUGGUCUGUUAAAUAAUGUGUGAUCUGUAAUUUUAGGUUUUGGAAUCGGUAGUUUGGAAGCUUGAUUAAUAGGGGUGUUUACUGGAAAUCCUUGUUGGCUUUGAAAGCUUGGUUAAUAGGAAUAUUUGCUGUGAAAGCUGUGCUGAUAAAUAGACAUUUAGUUUAAUGGUGGAAGGAGCAAUUGGCAUGCUGUGGGCAACAGGAAGAGCCAUCUUCUUCUUGCCCAGGCCUCUGGCAGGGGUUGUUCAUUGUCCCACAGUGCAGGACUGCAGCCAGCAUCACCCCUAGGGCUGUGCCAGCAGUCUGCAGUCAGUCUGCGAGCUGCCAUGGAUAGCUGUGGUUGGGUUCUACAGAGAGGAAACACUCACUGUGUGGGAUCUAAAUCUCUCCAUGAAAACAGCCUAAGUGUGGGGGAAUGCCAGGUUGUCCCAUGCACUUUCUCUUUGCAGUGUUGGCAACCAAAGAUUCUUCAGUUCAUAGAAUCAAUAAGGCUGGAAAAGAGCUCUAAAGUCAUCGAGUCCAACCUCAGCCCACCCAACCAUGCCCACUGACCACAAUUCUCAGUGCCACAUCUCCACAGCUCUGGAAUUCCUCCAGGGAUGGUGACUCCACCACCUCCCUGGGCAGCUGUGCCACUGCAUCCAUAAUGCCCAAUCUGACUCUCCUCUGGUGCAACAUGAUACCAUCACAUCCCAUCCUAACACUGUUACCUGGGAGCAGAGGCCAACCCCCACCUCACUCCAACCUUCUUGCAGAGUUGUAGGGAGUAAUAAUGUCUCCCUUGAGCCUUUUUCCUGGUUUUCUUUAAGUGAUACAGAACUCAACAUCUCUGUGACUUAAAACCUGCAUGUUUGUGUUAUUUCUCUAAGGAUUCCAAGGGGGAAGGAUCUUACUUUAUUGGAAAGUAAGGUGAGGGCUCCCCAUGUCCUGAUUGCCCCAUGGUGCUGGGGCAGUGGGGACAGCACUGCUCCUCCUGCUGCAUCCCACCCCACUCCUGCUGUGAUUCACUGAGCCCUAGUGCCUUCACUCAUGCUCUUGUUUGCUCACUUGCAUGCCGAGAAAACCUAUUUUUUGAUGGGAAAUUAAGUAUAAUCCUUUCCAUUAUGCACAUUUCCAAUAAAUUACUGGUGAGUUUGCACCUUUCAUGUCAGCAAGGUCUGUCAGAGGUGUUUGCUCACAAUUGAUUCACCCCACCCCAACCUGGGGAGAUCUGAUCACGGCGCAUUAUGCCUGACAGGGUUAUCAGAUGACCUUCUGAAAAAUUGCAAAGCACUUUCCAUCUUUUGCAAGAUGGACAGAUAAAGCUUGGGGGGCUGCUGUAGAGCUGAAAAAUGCAGCAGGGGUGUGGCUCCGCAGGCAGCUCCAGCUCUUUGCAUCAUGCUGGCGGCCACUCCCCUAUAAAUCUGUGGGGCUGGCAGGAGCUGCUGGCUCACCACAGUGAGAUGCCAAGCAUCACUCCAGAAGAACCUCAUUUGUACAGAGACCUCUGGAAUGUGGAGCCAACCAGCCAGGUGUCCCCCAAAAUCUGAGCAGCUCACUGUUUUGUUGGAGGGGCAAAGGGCUGUUAGGGGAACCCAAUUAAAAACUCUACUGUGUAAAUGCUAGGGCAGUGCCAAUGGGAUCCUGACUCUGCUGCCUGCAUUUGCGCCUUGCUCUUGUGGGUCAGAGCAUAUUUCAGUGGGGCAUGUGCCAAACCUGCUGGUAGUGGGCGUUCUACCCAACAUUCCCUGCUAGCCCUGGCUAUUUGCUGAUUCGCUUGGCAGCUUUCACCCUCUCAGAAUGUUUCCUUUGACACUCUAUAAAGGUGACCAAGUGCUCCUAUAUAUAUAUAUAUAUAUGGGAAAUAUAUAUAUAUAUAUAUAUAUUAGUCUGGGAAAAAAAAAGAAAAAAAAAAGGCUUUUCUGCUACACAUUCAGAAAUUGUCAGCAAGGCUGAAAUUCUCCUUAUGAGAACUUUUGGUGCUUACUGAGAACUGGGACUCUGUGAGUACGGUGGCGGACCGGAAAGCAUUUACAGAAUCUAUUCACCAUGGCCCAACUCUGCCACUUUCCACCAGCUCUGCAAGAACUUGCGCUGGCGUUAACCUUAAAAACUUCAGGAAUGAAAACAGAAGGGGGGAUAUGCAAGAUUUGCUGAUGGGCUGCAUUGUGCUGAGAGAAGCUCAGCCACAGUGAAGUGACAUCACUGCUCUUACUUUUCCACUUCUUGUUUGUUGCUUUUUCUUGACCACUUGAAUCAGCACUACGUUGUUGGGAAUGUGCAGAUUGGUACUUCCCAGCAACUAAUCUGGUUUCACUACAGUGAUGUUGGUGAAGAUGCAGUGCCGCCAGCACCGCUGGGAGGAGGUCACUCAUGCAUCCCCAUUGCCAUUCCCACCAUCAUCCCCAUCUCCAUUCCCAUCGCCAUCUCCUUCACUAUCGCCAUCCCCAUCGUCAUCCCCAACACCAUCGCCAUACCCAUCACCAUCACCAUCGCCAUCCCAACCCUUGUCUCUGGCCACCGCUGGCACAAAAGGUGAGAAGCAGCAAAGCUGUGGAUGCAGAAUGAAUUCAGGUUUUAACUUUUUUGAUUUUGCAGUAAACCUAAGUUCAGUAAAUUGAUUUUUGUAGUAAUAAAAGCUGAACACUCAUAACCCCCAAAGCGAUAAACUUUUUACUGCUAUUUAGAAUUUAUAUUUUAUUUCCAGUCUUUUCCUUGGAUGUGCCCUGAGGGGGAGCACUUUAUGUGCAGCUCUAGAAAUGAACUGAGUGCAAAUAUUUUUAUUUUCCGCUAAGCAUGAAAAUUUUGAUGCAUUCUCAUGAGACCAAAUGCACUUCUUAAAAGUACAGGGCAGCCAGCAGAGCAACUCGGCUGCUCUUUCAUUUAUUUAUUUCUUUAUAAUUUUCUGAAGGAAAAGCAUUGUUGGUACAAAGUCUGGGCACUGGGCAGUGGGGCGAAUAGACUGAAUACAGAAAGCACCGAAUUCUGAUCUUGGCCACCUCUUUUAUUGAUGUUCAGGUGGAAAUAAUCAUUCUAUGAUUCUAAUUUAUUAUUUUUCCUGAGUUUAUGAGUCCCUCAGUUAUGAGUAACUCAGAGGGACAGAGUAAAACAUACUGAAGUUCCUCAAGAAGGACCGUUUAUGUCCCUCUGGUUCAACACUCGCUUGGAGGGUGGGGAAGUCCCAGCAUGCUGAAGCUUAAAAUAACAGCACGGUGAUGGAUGAGAAGACCAUUGCAGGUGCAUUUUAGAGAUUUUUGAAAUGUCUGAACGGUAACUCUUCUCUCCUUACAGGUCCUGGGCAGCCAGAUUCACCUGGCUUUUUAUGCAAAGGGAUAAAAGAAGCAAUACAUAUAAAUGGUAUUAAUGCUCCCUAAAACAUCCUGGAAAUAUUCCUUCUGUAAAAUCUGUAUGACAAGUAUAGAUGGCAUCUCAUAAGGUGACCCAGAUGAUUCAGCACUUGGCUGCACAUGAGUAAUGUGGCCAUCCCCAUCUCUGCAGCAGUAACCUCUUUACACCAUGUAUUGCCAUCCAGGAGAUGUACAGGAUUUCUGCACAUAGAAAAGAAGGCUGGAGGAGCUGAGUGCUGGAUUUCAGCUUUCUUAACUGUAGCAAUAUCCCUGAAAACUUGGUGGGGUAACAGCAGCUGGAGCUGGAAGCCCCCAGCAUCCCUGCCUGAGAGGAUGUCAAUGGAGGUUCAGUACAGGGGGCUGCUGAGUAAAUACUGAGAAUGGGGAAAUAUUUGAGCAUUGGUCUCUCCAUACUCUUCUCUUGCUUGCACCCUCAGACGUGCCCUGUUUAAGCUCUGUUUCCAUUUUCAUUUUAUUUUAAUCACAGAAUCAUUAAGGUUGGAAAAAAACACGAAGGUCAUCAAGUCAACCCAUCCUCACCGUGCCCACUAACCAUGUCUCUUAGCCACCUAAGGGCCACCUGUCCUGCACCAGCACAACGUGGGUAGGAUGAGCCCUGGAGAAACUUCCUGUUGCUUGGCACCAGCUCUGAAAUCUUCCCAUCGAUGAAGCCAUACAAUGAGCCACGCUUAAUGAAUCAGAAUGUUAAUCAUCACUCACAUCAAUUCAGCAGCCCUGCCUGGAUGAUAGCUGCCCCCCUCUACUACUCUGAAUUCCUCCCCCUCGUCAUCAUCACAUCUUCUGGCUCUCUCCUUCAUUAGUUUUUAUCUGAUGAUUGAAUACCACUGUUAGCCAAAAAUUAUCAGUGCUAGCAUGCAUGCACAGCACACUGCAAGGGAGCAUUGUAAAACACAAGGCAAUUCAUGCUACAAAGCUGUCACAAACUGAAGAAAUAUCUCCCUUGUUUUCUCUGAGGCUGAAUGAAUGAAGCCUCAGCCCUGCUGCUGUACAACACUAAGCUCCUGUGGAAAGAAAAGCAUAACAUCCAGGCACAAUGGAAGAAAAAGCAGAUUCUUCAUGAUUAACAUAGGCAAUUUAACUGGAAGAAUUAUAAAAUAUCCCAAGUUGGAAGAGACCGAAAGGAUUUCAAAUCCAGCUCCUGGCUCCACACAGGACACCCAAAAAUCAGACCAUCUGUCUGGGAAGAGGAACAUCAGCUCAUGGAACUGACAUUUUGGAGAAUGGUUUCUUCUCGCUGCGUUUUUAGAUGAGUUGCAGUCAGUUUGUGCUGUAUAAGCCAUAUUAGGAGUAGGUUCCCACAGUGAAGCCAUGUCCAGCCCUGCCAGGCAGAAGGGGAAGAUGCUUUCAGCUUCUUUGCCUUCUCUUCAUGACAUCCCACCCUGAAUGCAUCUUUAGGCAUCUCUAAUGAGAUCUAGAAUGAGUCAUUAAUUUCUAAUUAAUUAACCUUUGUCAUGGCCUGCAGCAUUCUUAAUGUUGUUUUGUAAGAGUAUCCACUGUCACUCCGUGAUGGGCAUCUCCAUCAAGCCAGAAAAUCCCCUAUGGAAAUACCCUAAGGAUGAACAGAGCCCCAUACCCAAAAUCUGUGCUCAAAAGUAGAUUGCUCUGAGCCUUGUUUUGCACACAAAAAUGGUAGGGGUGGUAUUUUAACGUGUUUUCUUCUCAUGAGUUGAUGUUCCCAACAAGCAUGGUUGGUUGCUCUGGAUGUGUGCCCCAAGGCAACUCAGCCUGCCCAUCACUUCUCACUGUUUCUAACAGUUUGAAUUUGGAGCACCUGGCAUCAGUCACCGCAGGUAGAAGUGUUUGACACUGGAGCCUCCGGGUGGGCUCAGACAUGGUUAUUAGGAAAGAUUACAGAAAUGAUGACGCCAUUUAUUUACUGUUGGUGAAUGGCGUUGGCCAAGCUGGAGCACUGAUCUGUCUGUCACCUUACGUGCUGGGUUCCUGCUGAGCACUGGUGGGGUGCAGAACUGGGAUUCCAAUGGACUUUUGGAGAAGGAUUGGGCUUCUCGGGCUGCCCAUGGAGCUGCUGCACCCAUUGCAUUGCUUUGGCUGCUCAGCCCAGAUGCUAAGCAGAAAGGAAUAUGUUCAGUGUCCCAGGCACUGACAGCUCGACAUAUACACAGCAUAGAUAGCUUGCAAACUAGAUAAAGGAGUGACAACAUCUUCUUGAGAGAAAACACAGGGUUUCCCCCUCUGCGAUGCUUCAUCUCUGCUGUCUUCUGAUUUUGAUCUCCCAGGGCACACCACUCACAGCUGCCUUCCCGCUGUCCUGGGGCUUGCAGAGCCUUUUGGAGCAGUGUGGAGCCGCCCUCCUGCACACUAUUUGCUUAUCAUGGUUCCUGAUGGACAGUGUGCUUUGUGGGGUGGGGGAGGACUUUGGUUCCCUGCUGUCAUUGCUGGAGUUGUUGGUUAGCUGUGCCCCAGGCCACCCCUUGCCCCUUUCUCUAAGCAGCUUUUUACGCUGCGCAGCUCAAAGAGGUUGUAAAAUGCCUUUUCUCUGGCUUAGAGAGAGGGAGAGAAGAAAAUGCUUCUGGAUCUAAACCAACUAUUCAAACUCUUGCUUUCUGGCAUCCAAAGAAGUCCCAAGGGUUUGUUUUGCAAAGGAGAAAGUGCUGGAGAUUGAAAAGAGGUUACCUGUAAACUGUAGAGGUUAAAUACAGAGAAAGGUGCACACAGGGUUUAGGGCACCUUAAGAAUAAUGUUAAUUAUUUAAGACUGAGAGCACUGAAGGAUACGUCAGACAAGAGUUGGGAUGGAUUUGCACUGCCGCUGUGCUGCCAUUGAUUCCCACUCCCGGCCCAUUCGUGCUGCCAUGAGGCAGUCAGGGCAGCUUGGAAACCUCUGGUCUUCUUCAGAAUGUUUUUCAGUGGCCACAAACUGGGGACUGUGCAGCCCCUCAGGGACAACCCUGCCUGUGCCCAGCUGCUGAAUGCACGAAGAGAUUGGUGGAUGGGCACCAAAUCCUGCACCAAUGGCCAAGCCCAACCAAUGCAGUUUGAAGGUCACAUGUGGGCAUCCUCAGUCCUAAAACAGCUGUUUGGGGUUGAUGCUCGCAAGGCUUAGCAUUUCCAAAAGUGCCGAUGUGAUGCUCUGUCUCAGUGUGCCAUUAGCCCAUCAAGCAGUGUGCCACCUUCCUGACGAGGCACCAAACAGAGAGCAGGAAAGUUACUUGGAAAAUGCAUCACCAAUCUCCCCAUGAAGCCACAACCACGUACCCACUGUGAGGCUGUUGGCUUCCCGCAGUCUUCCCAUGGAAAAUGUCCUCACCUCCUGCUGCAGUUGGGCGGCAUCUCCAGAGGUUCACGGCGGGAGCUGCUUGUGUUUGGCUGGAGCACUGGGAAGGAUUUUGAUUCCAGGUUUUGCUCUGAUUUGCACCAGUGGCCACGUCCUAGCAGAGCGGCACUGCCACGGGCAAACAGAGCCCACAGC